UACGUAGGGUGCAAGCGUUAAUCGGAAUUACUGGGCGUAAAGCGUGCGCAGGCGGUUAUAUAAGUCAGUUGUGAAAUCCCCGGGCUCAACCUGGGAACUGCAUCUGUGACUGUAUAGCUAGAGUACGGUAGAGGGGGAUGGAAUUCCGCGUGUAGCAGUGAAAUGCGUAGAUAUGCGGAGGAACACCAGUGGCGAAGGCGAGUCCCUGGACAACACCUGACACUGAGGCACGAAAGCUAGGGGAGCAAACAGG
rnacentral:rRNA from 1 species